CGUAGGUGGCAAGCGUUGUCCGGAUUUAUUGGGUUUAAAGGGUGCGUAGGCGGUCUUGUAAGUCAGUGGUGAAAUACGGCAGCUUAACUGUCGAGGUGCCAUUAAUACUGCAGGACUUGAGUACAGACGAGGUAGGCGGAAUUGACGGUGUAGCGGUGAAAUGCUUAGAUAUCGUCAAGAACACCGAUAGCGAAGGCAGCUUACUAGACUGUAACUGACGCUGAUGCACGAAAGUGUGGGGAUCAAACAGGAUUAGAUACCCUGGUAGUCCACACUGUAAACGAUGAUUACUCGAUGUUGGCGAUACACAGCCAGCGUCUUAGCGAAAGCGAUAAGUAUCCACCUGGGGAGUACGCCGGCAACGGUAG
rnacentral:rRNA from 1 species